rnacentral:rRNA from 1 species
UAAAGUUGUUGCAGUUAAAUAGCUCGUAGUUGAAUUUCGGGAUCAAUACGUCGGUCGUGCCUUCGGUACGCACUGGGGUCGUUGAUUCCUCCCUUCUGAUGAACCAUGAUGUCAUUAAUUUGGUGUCGUGGGGAGUCAGAACUGUUACUUUGAAAAAUUAGAGUUUUUAAAGCAGGCAAACGCUUGAAUACAUUAGCAUGGAAUAAUGAAAUAGGACGUUCGAACCUAUUUUGUUGGUUUCUAGGUACAACGUAAUGAUUAAUAGGG